AUACGGAGGAUGCGAGCGUUAUCAGGUAUUAUUGGGUUUAAAGGGUGCGUAGGCUGUGCGUUAAGUCAGGGGUGAAAUGCCGUCGCUCAACGCGGGAGUUGCCCUUGAUACUGGCGGGCUGGAGUACGGAUGCCGUUGGAGGAAUGCGUGGUGUAGCGGAGCAAUGCUUAGAUAUCACUCAGAACACCGAUUGCGAAGGCAUCUGACGAAUCCGUCACUGACGCUGAGGCACGAAAGCGUGGGGAUAGAACAGGAUUAGAUACCCUGGUAUUCCACGCCGUAAACGAUGAUGACUAACCGUCGGCGAUAGACAGCCGGUGGCCAAGCGAAAGCGAUAAGUCAUCCACCUGGGGAGUACGUCGGCAACGAUGAAACUCAAAUGAAUCGACGGGG
rnacentral:rRNA from 1 species